UACAGAGGGUGCAAGCGUUGUUCGGAAUCAUUGGGCGUAAAGGGCAGGUAGGUGGUUUAGUAAGUCGACUGUGAAAUCCCUGGGCUCAACCCAGGAACUGCGGUUGAUACUACUGAACUAGAGUGCUAGAGGGGUUCGUGGAAUACUCAGUGUAGCGGUGAAAUGCGUAGAUAUCGAGUGGAAUAUCAUAGGCGAAGGCGACGAACUGGAUAGUAACUGACACUCAACUGCGAAAGCGUGGGUAGCAAACAGG
rnacentral:rRNA from 1 species